AGAUUGAACGCUGGCGGCAUGCCUUACACAUGCAAGUCGAACGGUAGAGUAGCAAUACUUGAGAGUGGCGAACGGGUGAGUAAUAUAUCGGAACGUGCCCAGUCGUGGGGGAUAACGUAGAGAAAUUUACGUUAAUACCGCAUACGAUCUAAGGAUGAAAGCGGGGGACCGUAAGGCCUCGCGCGAUUGGAGCGGCUGAUAUCAGAUUAGGUUGUUGGUGAGGUAAAAGCUCACCAAGCCGACGAUCUGUAGCUGGUUUGAGAGAACGACCAGCCACACUGGGACUGAGACACGGCCCAGACUCCGU
rnacentral:rRNA from 1 species